rnacentral:tRNA from 1 species
GCCGACUUAGCUCAAUUGGCAGAGCAACUGAUUUGUAAUCAGUAGGUUGUAGGUUCGAUUCCUAUAGUCGGCA